rnacentral:lncRNA from 1 species
AAUGGGGUUUUGUUUUUAAGAACCUCGAUAAAGGAUGGUUUGGAGAAGAAGGAGAAUGUAUUUUUGCUUCUUCUGAAAAUACACGUUAAGAGGGCUGGAAAGGAGAUUUUUUGUUUAAUUUUUUAAACCCCUUUGACACAUGUCGUGUGAUGAGAGGAGACUUUUUGCAUUUUGAAAUUUCAUAAAAAAUUCUCUCUGCAUCUUAAUCAACCGCCCCAUCCUUUUUUUUCUAAUUUUCGUUUUCAUUUUUUUUCUUUUUAC